UUGCACCAAGUGACUGCAUCCCAGAUUGCACCUGUUGAGCCAUUCCUGGAGUAGGAAUCAUUGUACCAGUUCCAGAAGAGGCACCUGUUGAACCAAGGGCACUCAUCAUGUUCGGGUUCAUGCCAAUUCCACUUUGAACCAUUUGCGGUCCCGAGAGAUUUCCUUGGCUCAUACCAGGCACAGCUUGACCCAUACUAACACCACCUUGGAGGUUGCUCAUUGGUUGUGACAUCCCAAGGUUAUUGUUGCCAGAGACAUUAGAGGUACCUGAAGUGAAUGAAUUAAGACCUGGGUUCUGCGCAACCUGUGUAAGAGUGCCGGACCCUGAAGAUGUAAAUACAUUUUGAGCAGCACCAACUGAAGAUGCCAUUCCACUAGAUAUCAUAUUUGAUACAUGCAUGGCCAUAGGAUUUUGACCCAUAGUUGGGAGUCCCAUAGAAGUUCCUCCAGUUAAGGCUGCUGCGUUCAUCACACGUGCCUGAGAGAUGUUAUUGAGGAUGCUACCUACAGGACGCGAGGGAUGUGUCACACCACUCACUACAGGUUUCAAAUCUGGCACAUUAUCAUUGUUUGUGGCCAUCUCUUGAGAAGCAGAAGAUGGUGAAGAAGUCUGCAAGCUCGGGACUCCUUGGGAAGGAGGACGGACAGAUGGAAUGUGUGCAAAAGAAGGUCCCAUGGAACUUACGGUACUUGGCUCCUAAACAAAUCAUAUCAAAACUUUAUAACUAUACGUGUGCAAUUUAAAGCAGUAUACCAGACCAAAGUGAACAUCUCUUUCCUUUGCACAAAGCAUAAAAGUUCAAGAGUGCAUAAGAAAUCUUACAACUUUUACAGUAGCAGGAGGCACAUUUCCAACAGAAAUUGGUUGCCGAUUCAUAACAGGUCCAUUCACUAAUUUGAAAAAGAGGAAAGAAAAAGAAAGGACAAGUUAGCAAACAAGCAGGAUAACCAAGAAUUAACCAUGAAAAAUUAUGAACAGCCUAACCAUAACAAACUUAAGUGAUUAAUUCAAGCAAGACAGCCUAUUAUACUAAGAUUUGUAAUUCAAACCUUACUAUGUUCAUUUGAGGGGUAUGACGAGACAAUUACUCUUAUAAAAGAUAAAAUAGAAAUUGCGACUACACCUUAUUGACACUGAAACAUUGAUAAUUUCAACAAAAAAAAAGUCAAAUAGAUAAGUGAAACCGAAUCAUUAAGUACUUUCAUUAACAGAAAAAAAAAAAAAAAAAAACCAAAUAUUUUGCAGUGGAAAAAGGGACAACAUAUUGACUGCAAAACCAACCAGAGGGCAUAGAAGUUGGAGGCGGCCCAGUAACUGAAGCAACAGGAGCUAUGUCCAUUUUUACAGGACUCUGAUUUGAGGGCAAAGUUGUAAUUCCUGGACGACUUAAAGUAGCACGGGCCUCCAUAAAAUUCUCUGAGAUUAAAACAAGAAAGCGGGGAUUUUUCGCAUUAUCAAUUGGUGGAUCUGCCGCUCUAGGGUUGCGCUUUCCCUGCAUUGGCAAAGUGCUCACUAUCACACCAACUUCUUCUAGUGAUCUUAAGCCAUAGGAAAUAAAAUAUUCAGUCUGGCAAUAAUACUAUCACCUCCCUUUUGUAUUGUCGAACAUUCUUUGCAGCUUUAUUAAUAUAAUUAGACAGUGGUUCCAUGCAUAUGAAUACCAGAAAAAACUAUAUUUUUUGUUCAAGACAGUCUAAGUGGUUGAUUUUAGAAUUCAACAACAUAAAGGGUUAAAGCUCAACAGAGCACCAAGGAAAAUAAAGGAAGUUACUUUAAUGUUGAUUUAGCAAGAUAUACAAAAGGUCAAAAGCUUAAUACAUACAUACAUACAUACAUACAUACAUACAUACAUACAUAUAUAUAUAUAUAUAUAUAUAUUAUAUAUAAUAUUUAAGGAUAAGAGAUAAGAGAUGGAACAUACCGCAUUGUAUAUUGCUCUGAGCUCAGGUAGCUGUAUUGGACAAAUGACUGACAGUGAAACAGAGCUCUGGAUGAAAAAGUAAGGGCUCAUUACUGAUAAUUUUCAACCUUCACGAGGAACCCAUCACAAGGAAAGGAACAGACAUCAUUAAAAUGGGAAUAAACAAAAACACUACCUGUGGAAAUGAUUUAGCAACAGCCUCAGCAUCAUAAAGACGAUUUUCUGUUUGUGCAUCAAUAUUUUCAUUUUGCUCCAAAUUUUGAAUUUGUGGCCGAUACACUGGUGUGGGCAGAGGGUGAGGUUUACUUGCAGCAAUAAGAACACAAUGCUUCUGACAAUCCACAUUUUGUUGAUUUUGGCUUCCAUUUUGAACUGUAGGGAACAUCUGUGUUUUACAUCAGAAGAAUAGUAAAUGUUAAGUUUAACAUGCGACUAAGAAAUGCAUUUGAACUCAAAAGUACUUAGACGGCUUUGAACAGCAUACCAUUAGAGCUUCCGAAAGCCCUUCCGCAAUUGCAGCAUCACUAAAACCACCCCCAGAAAAGGGUAUAGCUGAAAGCCUAUGUAAGAAGAGAUCCACAUCCCUUGUCCAGCCACUCCGUUGUACCAGGCAACCUUGAUGAAAGGUUGUACAAUUAUUUCAAAAUAUUCAUAUAUAUAUAUAUAUAUAUAUAUAUAUUGAGCAAAUGCCAGUUACAGUAAUGACAUGGAAUGCCUACAUAUCAUCUUGGUGAAUUGGGUUCAUAAGAAACAAGGUGUGAUACUAGUUAAGUGGUAAUUUACCAGGAAAAAAAAAAAAACUUCCAUUUCCAGCCAUAAGUUGUCCUACUAAGGGGAACUGGAAACGUAUAACUUAAUGUAGCUCGCUGUAUUUCCACAUAAAGUUCGCAAAACAAGUUUUUCAGACUUCCAGGUGGUGUUAUGUACAAAGAGCCACUACGUUACAAUAAAGUCUACUAAUUUUAGAAUUUAACUUAAAGCUAGUAAAAAUCCACCACUUCAAAGGGAAUAAUUCCACAAAGCAUGUUAAAAUCACCAAGAAAUCAUUUGCAAACCUUGAACAACAUCCACCUUAACUUUCAAACAAUUAUUUGACUUAGUAUAAGAUUGAACCCUGUUUACAAAGAACUAUUUGACUUAGUGUAAGAUUGAAUCCUGUUAGUAGGAGGAUGGAGGACUAGCAAGUCUUCCCCUACAAAAAGUAAAAUUCCUGAAGAAUUUGUAGUCAACCUCGUACUGCAAUAAUAAAUUAACAACACAAGUCAUACAUCCGAAAACUAGGAAUAAGAAGAACAAAAUUACAUACCACAAUAAGAUCCAUGAGUAUUGAACGUGACCAGGGAGAGCUCAACAGUAGAAGUCGACAGCUUCUGCAUCUCAAAAGCCAAAUUACAUAAUAAGAAAAAGACUACCAAGCUAGAAGUCUUACAGACGGAACUAAUAAUGUUGUUGCCAGUGAAACGUAAGAAUGGUUGUCUAUGGUUUGAUAAUAGUUGAUGUAGUGUACACAAAUGGUAAUCAAAUUAUUACAUGCAUGCUAUUAACAUCUAGUCAAAGAAGGCACAACCACCUACACGAAAACAUGUUUAAAUAUGUAAUGAACAAUUAACAGUUCGGACAAAUGACUUCUGAUGGAUAAUGAUAAACCUAAAGUAAUGGAAAAGGGACAUACCUGCCCACUUGGCUCGUUUCCACAGAAACUCCUGCAGGAAAAAGAUAAAUCAGAUGUGACUUAUUUAUAGAGUAGUGCAUAAAAUCCCAUGCAUGUUAAUGAAAAAUCAAUGACAAACUUCAUAUUUGGUUCUAUGUACAGGAAUGUAUUAGAUGAAGAUUGUUAAUAUUCCAAGUAUGAACUUUUGCUGAAGUUGUUAUAGCUAGGCACUUAUUAACUUUUAGAAUUCUCCAGGACACUAUAAAAAUUUCAUGUGCAAUGAAAUGAAACUGUAAAUGGGAAAUCAUGAUAAAACCUCAUCUUUUAUACUAUACUUGGGGGAGUUAAUUAAACCCCAGGAGAAAUAUAUGAUUCAACAGGACAAAUUCAUGAGAACUUACCUUGUAACCUACAUCAUAAGUAGAAACCAGAAAGUAACGUGUGAAAUCAAAGCCGGUCAUAGACAAGGAGGGAGAAAGAACAGAAGCUAGCUACAACACAGCACAAAGGAAGAAAGAUAGAAAAAUUACUAAGAACUUAAUCGCGAACCUUACGAUCUUCUCUAAAUAAUCUUUAAAAAUGAGUUCCCAGAAGGGACCCAUGGCUGCAGUCCCUUCAACAGUGAUGAUCAGUUGUUUCUCAGCCAUUAAGGUUUUCUCUGUGAUAGGAUUGGGGAUCUACUUUUAAAGAUCACAUUGACGACCUCGGGCAUAUCUAUUAGUCUCAUUGAUGAGCACGUAUGUACGUUUUUCUCUAGUUAUUGACACGUCUGCACGAAACUCUGUAAGGUAAAAACUAACCAUCCACCAUCGACCACGUAACCUAUACGUUACUGAUUAUAGUAUUACAAUAACAAAAAUAAUAUUAAGAAUUUAAAUAAUUAAUAAUAAUGUGUAAAAAUACACUUCAGACAUCGUAGUAUAGAGAAUGCUCACUCCAAUAAGCUGGAGCAUGAUACUCUGCUUCAAGAUGUCUAAGGAGUUAUCCACUCUCUCCUUUGCUUGACCACCGGAGGAAAACCAAUUAUUCAAUGUCAAACCCAAAACGUAAAUAUGACAGAUUUAGCCUAUAAGUACUGUAUUUGUUCCUAAAGCAGAAGGUUCUGUAAUAAGUUAAUAGCAAACACGGGAUAAUAACUGAAAGUUACCUCAUUAAAAUCGCUUGUAUUGUCUGCAUAAUUUGGAAGGAAGUUAAUCUUGAUACAUGGAAUGUAUCUAUCUGACCAAUUAUAGGACUUAUUUUCCAUCACAUGCCAACAAGCAACAAAUCAUCGCAUGGAGCUCAUCACCGCGGAUAGCUUCUAACAAAACUGACGAGAACUAACUAAUUAUUUAUAAAUCAAUCAAAAUCCAGUUUCCAUCAGGAUUAUAUGAAAUAAAACUUUGUACAUAGUAGAAAUAUAGCAAGGCUGCCUACGGUUUCACGGUACGAGGGUACAGAAAAAUCGGACCUUUCUACAACUACAACACACUAAACUAGUUUUAUCAGAUUCUUUAGUAGCUGACGAAAGAUUCAAAAUUGAACCAAAACUGUAUAGUUUUUCCAGCUAACAAACAACUACUCCGCAUAACCAAUUUCAAAGUGAAAAGUGAAAUUGCAAUCAAAUGUCGAAUCCGAGCCACCAAACGCAGCCGAAACAAGCUAAUUAAUCACAUAAACAAGCCACAUAAAAUUCUCGCCCGAUAACAAACACCAAAACCCUAAAAUCACAAUGCAACAAAAAAUCUAAAAAAGAAAUCAACAAAAGAAUAAAUUCAGCUAAGAAACUCCCUACCUGAUGAUCUUAUCAAGGUAAUCGGAGACGACGGUUGCCCAGCAGGGCCCCAUGGCGGCGGUGCCUUCAACGGCCACGAUCAGCUGCUUCUCCGCCAUCGUACAGCUAGAAAGGACCGUAGAGAAAUUUCAACUGCUUUUGCUGGCUGUGCGGCGGAAAUGUGUGAGAGUCCAAAGCUUGGAAACGGUGGUAAGUGCACGAAACGCAGCGUUCUGGACGACAAAGACGAGUAUUUUAAAUGGGAGUCGAUACCCCGCUGCUGCCGCGACUGGUUUGGGGUUUCUUCCGGUGGCGCAAAAUUAAAGGCCGAGCCCACAGCCUUUUUUAAGUUUUUUUUUUUUUUUUUUUUUUGAAAAACUGGAAAUAUUCAUAACCAGGGCUGGAACCAAAAACACAGGGAGACCUAUCAGGAGGCAACAACCAAAGUACACAAACAGAUGGCAAUGAAGAGGGGAACAAAGGCUAAAGAUGUUGCACCAAGUGUGAAGCGUCACCCUUUCACUACCCAAAAACAAUUACGGAGGACAGGGGAGGCCAUCCUUGUUCAAAAUAUGCACCAGCGAAUAUGGGGGAUGGUUAAUCCAAGUAUAACCACACAUCUCCGUGUUACUUCUCGACGCCAAACGGUCCAUCGCCAAAUUGACUGAUCUCGAAACCCAAUACCAACGAUACAUCUAAAAGGAAUCCUGAAGCCUUAAAAUUCUAGUCAACGUAGGAUAAGUCUCUCAGCUGCAGAGGACAAAUCAUUACCAAAAAUGUUCUCUUUAGAAUCCGAUUCAACAAUAAUUAUGUGCAAGCCCAGAGAAUGAGCAAAUUCACAUCCAAACAAAAUGGCAAGAGCUUCUGCCACAACAACACACGGAGCAGAAAUCAUCAGUUUCCACACCCCAACAAACCUUCCAUCAGUGCAUCUGGCCACAAUCCCCACACAGCCCUCAGCCGAAGUAACAUCCCAGCUCGCAUCAACAUUGAGCUUGGUAAACAUGGAACAGGGCAGAGAUCAACGAACCAAACCCAAAGGGGAAACCUGCUGAGGUAGAAAGUUCCUCAAAGGUGGAUAAGAAGCCUUCAAAAAAGUUGUUGUCGAAGAGGAGAUAGACAUAAUGACUUUUUGUGGGUUGAUAGCCGUUUGGUUAUAGAGAUUGUUGAUAAUCAAAAUCGGAGGUCUUGGAACAACGUAAAUCCGUCCGUGAAUCUGCAAGAAAUGUAAAUAACACAAGAGUUAUCGUGGUUUACCCCAAGGCUUGGGCUACGUCCACACUGAUUGUAUUUCUCUGACUGUAUGUAUGGAUUACAAGGGUGAGGGGGAGUCCCCCCAGAGAAAGAGAGUGUUAUUGUGUUUGUGAGGGUAUUGCCCUCUGUUGGGUUCACUAAGUCCCCUUUGUGAAAGGAGAAAAGUCCCUUUUUAUAGAAUAAGGGGCUCCUCCUUUUACAUAAUCAUAUGGGCUGGGUAAUGAGGCCAAAUGUAUCAAAGUCUGAGGCCCAAUAUGUGUGGUACCAACAGUAGUCCCCCAAGUUUUCAGUCAAGAGAGUCUUUUGGCUGGAGACUUCAAAUCCAAUCCAUGUAUGGGCCGAAGUGGCUAGAUGCCUUGAACCAGUACUCAACCCAAGGCAAUGCUCAACAUAAAGCAAUAUUCGGCUAGAGGUAUCACACGUUACGAGAUUGCUCGGUUGGAGGCGAUGCUCGUUGUGAGGCUGCUCGGCUAAAGGCUAUACGCGACGAGGCAUUUGCUCGGUUGGAGGCGAUGCUAAUUGCGAGACGGCUUGCUAGAGGCUAUGUUCGCUGCGAGACGGCUCGGUUCGUGGUACUCCUCAUUGCAAGUAUCUAUUUUAUGUCGACAUGCACUCAGUAUGAGUUAAUUCUCGACAUGACUCGGGUCCGCUUGUCGGGUUCGCAUAUUGGGUCUAUGUGUCGGAUCCGUGGAUCGAGUCCGCAAGUCGAGUCUUUGAGUUGGGGUCAUAUGUAUGGUCAUUGAUUUGGGGCUAUCUAUAGGGUUAUCGAGUUGGGACUAUCUGUAAGGUCAUCGAGUUGGGUCCGGGCACAUAAGUGUCCCAAUAAGCGAAUGUCCGUGCAAGUGGGUGUCCGGUCAGACAAGAGAUCACCAUGAGCACAUGGCUCAUCAAUCUAUAAGUUGGUAGAUUUCGUUAAUCAGCAAUAAUGUUGAUCAGUGGACCUAGUUGCUCAAUAAUUCCUAACAAUAAAUGACAGUAUAAGUACGACCGUAUAAUGAAUAAAUCAAAUUGACAAAGUUUGUCAAGGCAAAAUAUUGUACUAUGUGCCUUCUAUACAUAAAUAAUUUAUUCAGUCGUGUGGUAAAUAAUUUGUAUCAUAUAUCAACAAUAUAUUAGGUAUUGCCUAAAUGUGUGUGUAUAUAUAUAUAUAUAUAUAUAAUCAUAUGUUGUUUAAUAAAUCAUAUGUUGUAUAAAUCAAUAACGUGGUAUAAAUAAUGUGAUAUCAGAAAUAAUAUUAUUUAAUCAUAAGUCAUCAUAACAUAAAAAAUAAUAGGAUAUUAAAUAAACAAUGAUAUUCGGAAAACAUUAUGAUGUGAAAAGUAAAGCUCUUUUUUCUUUUUCUUUUUCCUUUUGUCCCUUCAUGAUGAAGGUUUUAUGGCACUAUCAUAUAUAUAUAUAUAUAUAUAUAUAUAUAUAUAUAUAUAUAUAUAUGUGUGUGUGUGUGUGUGUGUGUGUGUAUGUAUAUACAUAUAUUUAUCAUGAGGUGCCGCAUUAUAUGCACAUAUCACGAAAGCAAAUAAUAUAUAGCUAAAUGUGCACUAAAAUAUAAAUUUGAUAGAAAUGAUGUGGUCUCCUCAAAGAAUAUGCAUACUGUAAAGCAUCCCCAACACAAAAUAAUAAUAAACUAUUUAAAUAAACAAAUGAUAAGUUGGAGAAAAGUAAGAGGAUCUUCCUCCUUAGAAAUUAUAAGUUGCUUUCAUUUGGGAUCCUCAUCUUCUCCAAUUGGGUAUAUAUAUAUAUAUAUAUAUAUAUAUAUAUAUAUAUUUUAACAAAGGGAUAGUGGGUAAACAUUAUACCAUGUACCCUUUUUCUUUCUGCCAUGAAUGAUUACAGAUAUAACACUAAAAUAUUGAAAACAUGAGUGAUUAAAGAUAAGUAGCAGAACAUCAUAGAAUGCAUGUGAUGAUAAAAAAUAAUUAAAGGUAAAUAAUAAUAAAAUAAUAAUAAGGAACCCUUAUCUUCCUCCUGGGUCUUCCAGCUUUCUCAGAAAGUGGAAAGUGGACAUGGUGGUAUUCACAGGAGGUGGGAUCCCUGUGUCUGGAAUGAUUAAAGAUAGAUAAGUGUGAUAGAAAUGAUUGCCUUCGCUGCUUUUAGUGAAGGCUUUUUCAACAAAGUGGGAAAAUGCACUCCCCCUCCUAAAAUACAGACACCUUCCGUCGCACAGCACCAACACCGAGUCCAGUUCUUAUAGGCGAUGCUGAGCAGGUUGUGCUCCUCCACCGUCAGCUCGGUCCCGGCGGCGAUGGAGCCGACAACAAGCUUAUCCAUGAAGCUCAUCAUCUCUUCGUACCGCUCGGCCUGCUCGGCGAGUUUUGCCAGGUACACGUACUGUUCUCUGCUGAGGUUUUCAGGGACAGCAGAAGCCAUUGAAGCAGGCGAAUCAAGCGUUCUGCAUCCUCCCCGACAUGGGCACGAACGACAUCGCGGCCUGUGGAAGGAUCAUAGAUGGCAAGGUUGACAUAGGAAUAAGUGGACUGAAAGAGGCCGCAGACCAAAGGCAGACAGAGUCAGGGGCCUUCCAUGUCUUGAGAAUGCAGUAGAUGUCAACGAGGUGUUCAAGGUGUUGUGCUUGUGCCAGCAAUUGCCAACUCAAACUGAGCGCAGCACGGCCACCAGAGAAGGCAUAUUUUUGUCAACAGACUCCAGCUCACCUCGGAGGAAGAGGCAAGUCGAGUUCAAGAGGCUUUGGAGGUAGGUGCCACCAUGGCUGCUCUCCAACGACGGUGUUGGUGUCUUGGAUGGCAUUGAUUUGAUUAAUUAUAGCUGGCUGGCGGUGUUUGGUUUUUUGUACCUAAAAUCUAAGUAGUAAACUCAAAUAUAAGAGAGAGAGAGGGUAUAAAGAGACUGUGACUGUGACUGUUUUUUUUUUUAUUUCUUUUUGUUUUGGUUUUUGGGUUUCUGCAGAUUCACGAUAGAUAUUGUGGUGAGGUUUCACGGUGGUGAGAUAAAAAAAUGAAAGUCGUUUCCCACAAAUUGCACCAAAUGUUGAUGCACAAAACCGGAGGUCUUGGAACAACGUAAAUCCGACCGUGAAUAUGCAAGAAAUGUAAAUAACACAAGAGUUAUCGUGGUUCACCCUAAGGUUUGGGCUACGUCCACACUGAUUGUAUUUCUCUAACUGUAUGUAUGGAUUACAAGGGUGAAAGGGAGUCCCCCAGAAAAAGAUAGUGUUGUUGUAUUUGUGAGGGUAUUGCCCUCUGUUGGGUUCAAUAAGGGGCUCCUCCUUUUACAUAAUCAUAUGGGCUAGGUAAUGAGGCCCAAUGUAUCAAAGUAUGAGACCCAAUAUGUGUGGUACUGUUGAUCCUAAAAACUACAAAGCUUACGUAGCGCGCAGGCCGAGUAAUCUAUAAGCUAACUACGUCAUUCGAUGAAUGCGGGGCGUGCCAACUCGUUGCCCGAGCUUGACCGAGGAGUAAAUUUGUUGAUGUUGCGUUGGGUACGCGGCUGACUUCUGCGUCUUGCGAUUGCGACCGAAGAAGGAACACGUCUCGGCCUCUUGGGUUCUCGAACCUGAAGACAAGGCUACUAUUCUUACAAAGUUCACGAAUCGUCGUCGUUGGAUUCGGUCACAGUGAUGGUAUUCGUCAGAGUAAACUCACGCCGAAUCGACACCAAAGUGUAAGAGCACAAAUACUCGAAGCAGAUAUGAGUCUUAAUAAUGAACGUGGUUCGACCGUCUGAACGUCGAACUCUAAAUCCUACUUGAGAGUAUCCAAUCAUCAAAUAACUCGGCGUACAAUGUGCUGAGCUCGGUGGGCUGUAACACCUCGCUUCGUCGAAAAGGUUAACGAGAUGACCUCAAUCAAUAAGGAUUCAGAAAUCAUUCUCAACCGAGACUUGGAUAGGUAACCAACCGUCUUCGUCGUAGUGCUGUUGAUGCCAACAGAAGAUACUACGAGAUCGACUGAUUCUACGGCGACAGAGCUAUCUAUGUCGACCGAAGAUAUCAUUGGUUGCUUUCACAGUGUUGUUGAUGCCAACGGAAGAUGUGUCAGCGAAAAGAGAAAAUAAAAAAAAAUCUCAAGUUGUUGAGAGAGUUUGCGCAUGGCAGUUGUGUGUUGAAUUGGAAAGGGCUCGAACGAUGCACAGCCUCCUCUAUUUAUAGCACCGAAUACCUUCAAGGUCGAGUUAAAAACCUACCAAGAUUAGGACUUCUUCUCCUAAUCGAACUCCAACUCGACCAGUCUUUUUUUUCACUAUACUUUUGAACCCAGUCCUAUAUUGAGCCGGAUUCACUUCCAGGUUGUUAAUCUCGUCGAAACUCCUCAUUGCACCAGGAUUCGACUCGUCUUGCAGCAUGACUUAACCUACCCAGGUUUGGAAGCCCACGAACCAAACAAUCCAUGGUAACUUUGUCGUAUGGCCUUCCGGGCAGAGAAUAAUUCUAUACUCGGUCCAAACUGAUAUUUUGGGCCCAAACAGGUACCAACAGAGAUAAUUACACCGAGCCUUCCAAAUAAACCAACAAGUGAAGGCAACAUAAGACAAUGACCAAAUAGUUGCAUCCUUAGAUCCUAAAGGUGAAUUUAAAAAAAAGAAAACCAGUUCGCCAACAUCGAGAAACCAGUUUUAUCCACCACGUAAUAAACAGUCAAUAUUAAGACCAACUCCAAUGGUGGGCUAAAAGCUAAAUUUCCCCAUUUAUUCCCCUUCCCAAACACCACCCAACCCAUGCUAAAAUAUCGAGCUAAAAGCCAAAUGCCAAAGCUAGGCCAAAUUCCCCCAUAUGCGAGUGGACUUGCUAGCACUUGGGCCAGUCUCGGCCCGCCCACGCUCCAACGCACCCCAUGCGGUUGGCUUGCAAGGGUUUCCCGACAGGGGUGAGCCCCGCUGUCAGCUGUGUGUCGGCCAACAUUAUCAUCCUAACAACUAUAGUUUUAAUCCAAGGGCUGGGCUCAGUGGCGGAUCUACAGAGGGACCUGGGAGGUCCCAGGACCCUCCGGCAAUCCUAAAAUGCUACUAUAAAUUUUCUGGGGGACCCCUCAAAGCAGGAUCUGUGCUGUCAUGUGCUGCAGGUUGCAGCUUGCAAUGGAGAAGAAGACAGGGGGAAGAAAAGAAGACAGGGGGAAGAAGAAAGAACAGGGCCUAAAGGCCUUUUAAAAAAUUGGUCCAAAACGCAGUGUUUUGGCCAAUUUGUUUAAAUUGUUUUUUUUUUUUUUUUUAAAACCCAACCGUUUGUCCAUGAUUCCCGAGACCCUUUAACGCCUAGCCCACAUGAUGGGCCAUCCUGAGUCACUCUUCCUUCCCCACCCCCCAGUUCCUGCUUUUCCAUUCCCCCUAAUCCCCAUCUUUCUUAUAUUCACCCAAAACCAAAACCCUAAAUUUCUAAUCCCACCCAAUCCCAUAUUAUAAUUAUAUUACUCCAAUAUUAUACCUCCACUUGUUUCAAUUCUCCAAGCCACCACUAUUUGGUUCAAAAUUCAAGUAAGUUUUUUGGUAUUAAUCUAAUCUCAAUUAAAUUAUAUUAGAUAUUGGUGGAGAUUUUUAGUCUAUUAUUGAUAUGAUUGUUGAUAUGUUUUAUGUUUGUAUACUCAUUUUAUCAUUGAAAUUUAGAUGGAUUUUUUGUUUAUUGGUUGAUUGGUAUAUGUUUUGUGUUUUUGGUUAAAUGUGUAGUUUAGAAAUAAGAAAUAUGGAAAGAUUUUUCAAGCCAAAGCCAAUAGCACUAUCUACUUGUUCGGGUAGUUUGAGCUCAAGACAAAAUGAGCGUGACAUUGAUUUUAAUAGUCUUGAGAGAGACUUGGGAAAAAGAAUUCGAAUGAAGGACUAUCCUUCUAAUAUUCAAGAUGAGGUCCGAAUAGCAUAUUUGCAAAUGGGACCUUGUAGGCCUACAAAGUAUGAGUUCCCAUACACUUUGCAUGCAAAGAAAAAGCAACGAUUUGUUGUUUCGUGGUUUGAAGAAUAUGAUUGGUUGGAGUAUAGUAUAUCUAAAGAUGCGGCAUUUUGUCUUCAUUGCUAUCUCUUUAAAAUCAACUUUUCACAAUUAGGAAGCGAUGCCUUCACUGGGGUAGGCUUUAAGAAAUGGAAGAAUGCAAGAGAAUGUUUUGACAAGCAUGUUGGUCCUAUUGGUAGUUUCCAUAAUAAAGCUAGAGAAGCGGCUAGUUAUUUAAUGAACCAAAAGACACAUAUUGAAGCAGUUGUGAUCAAAUAGUCAGAAGAAGAGUGUAUGAAAUAUCGUCUUUAUUUGAAUGCAUCAAUAGAUUGCACUAGUUCUUGUUGCGACAAGUCCGUCCUUUUUGUGGCCACGAUGAAAGUGACACUUCGAAUAAUAGGGGGAAUUAUUUAGAACUCUUGCAAUUCCUUGCGGAUCAUGAUGAGAAAAUAAAGGAAGUUGUGUUGGAAAAUGCUCCGAGAAAUCUCAACCUAAUAGCUCAUUCAAUUCAAAAAGAUAUUGUCAAUUCAUGUGCCUUCGAAACUAUUAAGGCUAUUAUGAAAGAAGUGAAAGAAAGUAAAUUCUUUUAUAUAAUGGUAUGAAUCACGUGAUAUUUCAACAAAGGAGCAAAUGGUAGUGAUUUUGCGUUAUGUGGACAACAAAGGUCAAGUAAUUGAAAGGUUCGUGGGAGUCAAACAUGUUACUGAAACAACUUCAAGUAAACUAAAGGAGUCCAUUGAUGAGUUCUUGAAACUACAUGAUUUGAGCUACUCCAACCUACGAAGUCAAGGUUAUGAUUGAGCGAGUAAUAUGAGAGGUGAGUUCAAUGGCCUUAAAAAAAAAAUUUGGAUGAAGAAAGUUGUGCAUUCUAUGUUCAUUGUUUUGCUCAUCAACUACAAUUAGCUUUUGUUGCUGUAGCAAAGAAAAACUCCGAUGUUGGCGCUUUUUUCACAUUGACUAAUAAUUUGGUGAAUGUUGUUGGAUGCUCAUGUAAGCGUCAUGAUGCACUUAGAGAGAAACAACAAGAAAAUCUCAUGAAAGCUAUUGAAAAUGAUUGUCUUGAAACGGGGCAAGGGUUAAAUCAAGAAACUAGUCUCAAACGUGCUGGGAAUACACGGUGGAAUUCACAUUAUGGUGCUUUGAUUAGUUUGAUUACAAUGUUCUCAUCUGUGGUGGAUGUGCUUGACAUGAUUGUUGAAGAUUGCUACAAUGAUAGUGCUGGUGAAGCAAAAGGUUAUUAAAAGAUUUACAAUCUUUUGAGUUUGUGUUCCUCCUCUUUUUGAUGAAAUCCAUAUUAGGAGUUACAAAUGAUUUGUCACAAGCAUUACAAAAAAAGAAGAUCAAGAGAUUGUGAAUGCAAUGGCUUUAGUCAAGACAUGUAAAGAACAACUACGUUGCAUGAGGAAUGAUGAAAAUUUUGAUCUUUUGGUUGAUAAAGUAUCAUCUUUUUGUGUUGAACAUGAAAUUGAGAUGCCUAAUAUGGAUGAUUUAUAUGUCAUUCAAGGGAAGUCAUUGCGUAAGGCUCCAAGAAAGACCAAUCGUCAUCAUUACAAAGUGGAGCUCUUUUUUGAGGUCAUUGAUUUCCAACUUACAGAAUUAGAUGAUCGCUUCACUGAAGGUAAUACCGAAUUGCUUAUUUGCUUGGCAUGUUUGAGUCUGAAUGAUUCAUUUGUAGCUUUUGAUAAAGAGAAGCUUGUUCGCCUUGCUCAGAUGUAUCCUAAAGAUUUCAUGGAUCGAGAUAAAUUGGCACUUCAAGAUCAACUUGAUAUUUACAUUCAUUUUGUGCGUUCUGAUAAUGAUUUUUCUCAAUUGCGGGGGAUUAAUGAGCUUGCUAAGAAAAUGGUGGAGAAAGGGUUGCAUCGAACGUUUGCAUAUGUAUAUUUGCUUGUUCAGUUGGCUUUGAUUUUACCGGUUGCAACCGCUUCAGUGGAAAGGGCAUUUUCCGCUAUGAAUAUCAUUAAGGGUCCAUUUCGCAACAAAAUGGGAGAUCAAUGGUUGAGUGACAGCUUAAUUGUUUACAUUGAGAAAUAUGUUUUUUCAUGUAUUGGUAAUGAAGCUAUCAUGGAACAUUUUCAGACUAUGAAACCUCAUCGUGGACGCUUGAAUUAGGAUUUUAUAGCUUGUAAUGUUGUUUUGCACAUGAUUUUUGAAUGAAAUGUAUUAUAUUUAACUUUUCAAUGUUAUUUUUGUCUAUAAAUUUUUUGACCUUUAUUAUUAGGAUCCCCCAAGUUUAAAAUCCUGGAUCCGCCACUGGCUGGGCUUUAAGGACCGUUGGUUGAUCCAACGGUCCAUAUUCAAAUUUAAUUUUUUUAGAAUAUGUUAUUUUAAAAUACAUUGAAUCCAAUGGCUGAUAUUGAAUAUAAUCAAAUCUAACGGUAAAAAAAAGAUCUAAUGGCCCAAAUUUAAAUUUAACGGCUAAAAUAAUUAAAAAAAUUAUUUAACUCAAAAUUCACCAAAAAACUCUAUAAAUACCUAUGUAUUUGUUCAAACAUCCACCCAAAACUCAAUUUUCUCCUACAAUUCUACCAAUUUAUCUUUCUACCAUUUAUUUCCAUUUCCAAAUUGUUCAACAUGGCAAUAGAGCAUAUUAGAGGUCGUAAUUGAACAUGUGAGGAAGAUGUUGCUUUAUGUUUGGCAUGAGUUUCUGUUAGCGAAGAUGGUGCAGUUGACACAAAUCCAAAUAAGAAGGUUUUGUGGUAUAAAAUCAUUGCAAAGUUUCAAGAAAACUGCAAUUGCGGCGGGCGGGAUGGUAGUGGUGUUUAUGAUCAGUGAAAGACUAUCAACAAAGCAUGCACUUUAUGGAAGGGAAGCAUUGAGAUAGCCGUGAUUGGCAUGGUUAGUGGAAAGAGCGCCACAUAAAUUAUGAGUUUUGUUCUUGAUAUUUUAUUUGUCACGUACAUAAUAUUAUUUUGCAACUAAUUAUUUUUAUGUAUUUUUUGCAUAGGGUGACAAAGCAAUGGAAAUUUACAAGACAAGAGUAACACUAAAAAAUCAAGUUUUUAAGUUGCAACAUGCUUGAGACGUCCUCAAGGAUUGUCCGAGGUGGGGAACCGAUGCAGACCAAUAAUGGGGAAGAUUAUUUCAACAUGAAGCCACACAGACAAAUGCCGGAGAUGAAGGUGUCGAUGAAAUGACCCCAUCUCCUUUUUUUGCAAGGCCCCCGAGAAGAGAUAAGCAAAAGGAAGCAAAGAGAAAAGGGAAGUCGCAAGAUUCGAUGAGUGGACACUUUGCUACCGGAAUUGCAAAAUUGAACGAAACUCAUAGCGCUUGCCAAGAAGAAACGGGCCAAAUGCGUUUGCAAAUGAAGGAAAUCUCAAAUAGGGAGUAAGAUAGAUUUGAAAUUAAUUUCAUGAUGGAAGACCUCAGUAAAUACAUUCCAGAGAGGAAGAAGUUCUUACGUGGUAAGCAAAAGAAAAUUUUACGAAAGUCUGCUUCAAGGAGUAUAUUUCAAAAUGAUGAAUCCUCUGAACCUUAUAUCCCAAGUCCUGUACGAAGUCCAUCACAAGUGAAGAUGGUGGAUAUGAUUAUUAAGUUUAUGUAGUGUAUGAAUUAUGUGUUUUAUUAAUUAAGUUUAUGUAGUUCAUUAAUUAUGUGGUUUAUGAAUUAUCGGUUGUAUUAAGUUUAUCUGGUUUAUGUACUUUAUUAAAUUUAUGUCUUAUUAAUUAUUGUUUCUAUUAAUCUAGAUGCCUUCAAUAAUUAUUGUACUUAUUAUUCCACACUUUGAUGUAUAAUAAAUGCUUUCAAUAAUUCAAUCUCCAUUCAAUAAUUUAUCCAACGUACUAAACAAAAUACUUUGCACAAUAAGACACUUAAAUUUAUUAUUAGAAAAUAACAACAUAGUACACUUAAAAUUAUUACAUAAAUGCUUAACCAACAUCAUCAAUGUUCACCUUCUCAUCAGUUGAGUCUGUAGAGCACCCAUUAGCUAGCAUGCAAAAAGCAGAUGUGAGCUUCUGAUGAAGUGAUAGACAUUGUCAGCUUGCGACAUCUAUCAUACUUGCAAAGUAGUGGUCAUGAAAGUUCAGCUUCAGCGUCGAACAAUUCUGCAUCCUCAAUCUCAAUCCUUGCUUGGUUUUGUGCCAUAUGCAUUGCCAUGCUACCCCUUAUUCUAUCACCCAUUGAAAGUUGAAAGAUUGGUGAAUAUAGAGGAUUUUUAGGAACAAAAAUUCAUUGAAAAUUGAAAGAUUGGUGAAUAUAUAGGAUGAUUGAAGGUUGAAAGGUUGUAUGAUCAACUAAUAUUGGACGUAUGUUUAUAUAGAGGAUGAUUGAUGAAAGUUGAACGGUUGGUGAAAGUUGAAAAUUUGGUGUUGAACAGUUGGUGAAUUGAAAAUUUGGUGUUGAACGGUUGGUGAAUUGAAAGUUAGCCUAGGGUUGAAAGAUUGGUGAAAGUUGAAGGCUUGCUUUAUGGAAAAUUUAGUGAUUUUUUAAUAUUUAUCGGAAUUUAAAUAUUUUUAUAUUAAAAUGUUCAUAAAAUUAAUUUACGAUAGUCUAUAUAUUUAUUUAUUUUUUAAAAUUUAACUGAAGAAAAAAAUAGCCUAAGUUCAUUAUUUAAUAAUUAUGAGCUAAAAUUUUAGGUCAGAAGGGUUUGAGCAGAAAAGUUGUUUCUGAGCUAAAAAUGUUGGCUUUUAACCCAACCAUUGGAGUUGAUCUAAUAGGGUAACCCUUGAACUAUUUUGUAUUGACCAAUUUGCACCCUACCUUUAAGAUUUUGAAUUUCUGACCACUUUUUUUUUUGUUGAUUUCUUUUUAAUUUCUAAACAAAAACAAAUGAAUGAGUGAAAAUUGUUAAUUUAGAUUUUGAUAUAAUCAUGGAGUGCAACACACUUAUUUGGGUUGGUUGUGUCAUCUUUGCUUGAUCUUUCUUUUAUUUCCUUCUAUUUUGAAUCAAUAUAAGUGGAGAAAUCAAGCAUUUUGCUUUGAAGAAUAAUAUCGAAAAAAAUCUCAAGAAUGGCAAGGAUAAUUUUCUACUAUAUCGGGAAAGUAUCAAGGAAAAAAAGGUAAUUUUCAGCUAUGAUGAGAAAAUCUCAAAAGUAUGAGAGGAUCCGAAUUUUAAUUUGAUAACAAAACUGAAGUUUAAUAUUCUAUUUUAAACUAAUCUAAAUUAUAAUAUGGAUAUUUAAAUUAAAAAAUAUAUUCGCUUCGGCCAAUGCAACUACCACUGAUCUAAAAAAGAAGUAAUUUUGGUUUCCUUCUUUUGGGUAAUGCAAAGACCCAAAAUUAGAAUCAUAAUACAAAAAAAUAAAUAUGCAUUUAUUCCCGAAAUUAGAAAAAAAAAAAGUAAUUAUUAAUCAAAUUUCAUGUUCAUGUGGGUGAACCCGUGGCAAGUGGCAGCAUAAAAUCCAUUUGAAUUUGAGGAAUUUAAUUUAAAUUAAUAAUGAAGUAAUCAACUUUGCACUUCAAUCGCUCUCCAAAUUCGCGGGAACACCAUGGCAGCCGCCGCUCAGGGCAGCUCUCUUCUCUGCUCCUGCCGCAGCAGACCAUGCACAACCAGAACAACCCUAUCCCCUUUCGGUCCCUAUCCCUUUCUCUCUCCUCUCACCCCCAUUGGCGCAAGCUCCAAACAGUUGAAGCUUUCGAAUUCCAGGUUCUCUUUCUCCUCUAUCUCUAUAUAGGGUUUCUAGGUGAAUUUGAGAAAUGAAUUGUCAAUUAAUUUACAUAUUUGCAGGACUGGUAGGGUUGUUUCUGCUGUGGUUUCUGAGGAGAACGCAAUUCAAUCAAGUUUCUCUGGCACCGAUGGGUUCAAGCUCACUUAUUUGGAGGUGGGUUUUCAAUUUUCUUAUUGGUACUUCUUAAAUUUGAUUACUUUUGGGGAUUUUUUUUUACUUGAAUAAAUGUUUACUUUUAGGGGAAUAGUUGGUUGUGGGAUGUGGGUGGGGUGAAAAUACUGGUGGAUCCAAUCUUGGUGGGUAAUUUGGAUUUUGGAAUCCCCUGGCUUUAUGAUGCUGCGAAGAAGUUUUUGAAGAAUUUCCAGGUACUCCUUUAGCUUCGAAAUCAAUUUUUUGAAGCAAAUUUGCCUUCGAUUUUCCUUUUUAAUUACGCAUAUGUUGCCAUUAUUUUGUAGAAUGUUGUGAAGUUGAUAGGCCUGUUUUGAUUGGGUUUGCAACUUUAGUGCAGUUAAGUGAUAUUCCAGAAGUUGAUUGCUUGCUUAUUACACAAAGUCUUGAUGAUCACUGCCAUUUGAAGACAUUAAAGCCCCUCUCCGAAAAGUACCCGAAUCUUAGAGUAAUAGCUACACCAAAUGCUAAGGCCUUGUUGGAUCCCCUUUUCAGCAAUGUGAGUUUGAAACUAAUGUUUUGUUUAAGGCUGCAGCUUCUUGAAUGUUAAUUUUGUUUUUAUUUUAAAUUUUUUAAUAUACGCUGUUUAUCCAGGUUAGGCAUGAACAAUCUCUACAGUCACCACCAAAGAAACAACGAUGCACUUAAAUAAGCAAUGCCUUGUUUCUUAAAAACUAGUGUAGUUUUUAUAAUUGGGGUAUAUAAUCCGGCUGCUGUGUUGGGUUUAUUGUGCAUCUGUUCCCUCUUAAUUUUUGGUUAAUACAUGUGCUACUAAGAUGGUGGACAUUACUACACAAAUUCUAUUCCUAAAUUUUACCUUUCGCAACAACUGAAGUUACUGAACCUUACUGUCAUUACUUCAACUUGGCUCAAUUGUUCCUGAAAAUUGCAAUGCUGGCAUGCAAGAUAUUCCCAAAGCCGUAGAUGAAGUCGCAUUCCGUGUUUCUAUUUGAGAUUUACACUAAUUUUGUUUAGGUCACAUAUCUAGAACCUGGCCAGAGCUCCAUUAUUGAAGCAGGAAAUGGUUCUACAGUCAAAGUUCAGGCCACUGCAGGGCCAGUUCUAGGUCCUCCUUGGCAGCGCCCCGAAAAUGGGUAAGGUGUCAUUUUUCUUAUUGCGAUUGUAACACUAGUGAAUUCCAUUGGCAAGGAAUGAAAUAAAAAGGAAUGAAGUUAAUGGAAAAUUCUUCUUGAUUGAUUGAAUUAAUAAUUACAACAGAGAGAGCAUAUAAAGCUUUUGCUAAUUACAAUGAAGUCCCUAACCAUCUUUACUAAUUACAAUUACAAGUGUAAACAAACUUCUUAAUGACUGAACUUAAAUUGUUGACUGUAUUGGAUGGCUUGGCUUGUAGAUUUUCCUCUUUAUGAAACAGUUCCUUGUAAUAUGUUCUUUAGUCUUUGGUUAAAUGGAUAUUAACGAGAUGUUAUAAUAUGUGGACCAGAUAUCUUGUCAUUUAUCCAGAAGGGAAAUCUACACUUUACUAUGAACCCCAUUGUGUAUACAAUACAAGUUCACUCGAGAAGGAAAGAGCUAACAUUAUUAUCACACCGGUCAUAAAGCAGCUUCUGCCUAAAUUUACCUUGGUCUCUGGACAAGAAGAUGCAGUUCGACUUGCAAAGCUGCUGAAUGCCAAGUACAGAUUCUUUAUACCUUAAUACUAACAUAUACAUAAAGAUGGUUUUACUAGACACAUAUCAACGUCUUUGUUUUACAUUUUGUAGGUUCAUUGUCCCGAUGACAAAUGGGGACUUGGAUGCCAAGGGGCUUCUUGCUAGUUUAGUUUCGGCUGAAGGAACAAUCGAAUCAUUCAAGGUUGUUUUCUUCUUCUCACGGUUUUUUCUACGGUGAAGUAUUAAGAUUUCUUUGUGCAAUAUUAUCACAAUUGAAGUUGUGGUUAUUAAAUGCAGGAACUUUUGUCCAAGGAAUUACCAGAUGCACAGGUACUGCAGCCUACUCCUGGUGUGCCGCUAGAAAUCCCGCUACCUCCAAAUCUUCCGUAAUAUGUUUUCUGCAGAAGAUAUACAGACACUGUAGCUCACUGAAAAUAUGUACACAUCUCAUCAAACUCGUAAUUUGUAAAUGUCUGUUUAUUUUAUUGAUACCAUUUGUUCACUUUUAAUCUGUAUUCAAAAGCAACUCCAAGUAGGCUUGGCCUCUGAGUUACAUAUGAGAAGCUGGUUCACUUGAACAAUAUUCCAUUUUGGAAUAGUUAUUGGGACAUCGGAGGCACAAAUAUUUGUAAGGCCCACUUAGCUAGUGGUAGAGGCAUGCCACUUAAUAAAAUGACAGACAUGCUUUCCAAUUAGCUAUUCCGUUUAGUAAAUUUUUUUUUUUUUCAAUAUUGAAGGGAGGGUUUCUUUAGUUCACAUUAAAAGUACAAAUUUAAGUUACAUAUCUGAGUAAAAGCCGUUAAAUUAUUUAACUUAGUGCUGGUUUGAGAAUGAUGUGUUUUGAAAAAAAACUGAUUCUGUUGUGCUGUGAGAAUAAACAGCUGUGAAAUAAAACUAUAGAGUGUUUGGUAAAUUUUUUUGUAAAAGUGUUUAUGGAAAAAAAAAACGGUAUUAUAAUGUUUGGUAAAUUUUUAUGUAAAACAGCUGUGAUUAUAUGAAAUAACAAAAAAACGGCAUCGAGUAGUUUCUCCCACUACUGAACUAGACUUUCCAAAAACCAAAAACAUCUCUCUAGACGUCUCCCACACAACCCCAAUUUUCUCAGUUUUUAUAUUUUUUGCUCCGUCUUCUUCUUUUUUAUUUUCUGCUCCGUCUCUUCUUUUUUAUUUUCUGCUCCAUUCCUCAAUCUCUCUCGCAUGUCAUUCCUCAAUCUCUCUCGCAUGUCAUCUGAUUUAAGGAGCUAAGAAAAUCUACUCGUAACCCUGCAGCUGCUGAAGAAAUCAAAGAUUUUGAGGGAAACCCAAAAUCCGAAAAGAGGGAAAGAAAUGAGAAAAAUGCAGAGAACCUGGUUUGGGGUUGAAGACGUGGUUGGGGGAGAGAGGGAUUCUCCCGCAAAUCGCAGUCUCCAUGAAUCGAUCUUUCUUUUUUCUUGUGCUGCUGCUUCUGCUGCAAUGCGUCGUGCGAUUUUAUUUAUUUAGUUACAGGAAUUUUCUGUUUUGGUUUAAACAACCGAAAUAACAAGAAAAAGAUCGAACAACUGGUGGACUCCUGUGCUCUGUCUGGUGGGACUUCUGGUUUUCGCAAUCCAUAAGACGGCGUCGUCUUGACCCUACCAAGUACGAACACUGAAAAUAAUUUUUGUCAAAUUAUAAAUCCAAUUUCUUCACCAAAAUAAAUGAAUAAAUACAUAAAUAAAUCCAAUUUAAAAUGAAAAUCCGAAAUGAGCGGUGGGUUAGGCAUCUCCAAUGUACUAGUUCAGUUUCAUUAACGCAAUUUAUAGUUAAUGUAAUUUGGGUCUUGAAUUUUUAUUUUCAGUCAGUUUAUACUUUAUACUUAUAAAAAUAAGUUAAUGUGAGCAUUCUGUCGACUUGUUAAGAUUUUAUUUAUUUUAUGAAAUCCUAUAAGUUGACAAAAGACUUCACAAUGACUUAUUUUAUCAAGCACUAAACUUUAGGGGUGUGAUAUCCACACAUCAUUUUUUACUUCUCACACAUUCUUCUAAGUUUCGGCCGUUAGAUCGGGUGAAUUGAAAAAGAUCAAAGAGUAGACAUUAAUAAAGAGUGUGUGAGAAGUAAAAAGAAGUACGUGGAUAGCACACCCCAAAAUUUAUUGUAACUCUUGACUAUUAAAUUUUUGAUCGUACAUUCAACCCUCAAUUUAUUAUUAGUUUCAUGUAUAAGUUAUAACGGAACAUAUUAGAUUUUUCGCAAUUUUGACACUAGGUGAAAAUGCAGAGAGCAAAAAAACGUAACUGUCCUUUUUUAAGUUUUGCUCUCACGGCCACUUUCGUCUCUCACUUCAUCUGUGUCUGUAGGUCUCCCCCUUUGAACUCUUCUCGAUUAGUUAUUCAAAUUCCAGUUAUUUAACCAUGACCGUCAGGAAAAAAAAAAAAAAGAGGAUUUCCAAGUUAAAGAAAGCAGGAAAGAAGAAAGCUGCCGAUCCGUUUACGAAAUAUGAAGAAAGAUUGGUACGACAUCAAUGCCCCUCGUCUGUGGUUCUAUAACAACAACGUGGGUAAAACUCUGGUCUCCCGUACUCAGGGCACCAAGAGUGCUUCCGGAGCACUCAAACAUCGACUUUCGGAGGUCUCAUAAACUUUUGGGGGAUGAAUUUCACUAUGGACAAGCUGAGGUCCUUGGUAAGGAAAUGGCAGACUUUGAUGGAAGCUCACGUAGAUGUGAAGACGACAGACAAUUAUACUUUAAGGAUGUUCUGCAUUGGCUUCUCUAAGAGACGUCAAAAUUGGGUCGGUAAGCGCUUGAUAACAUUACACAUCAGAAAACACUUCAAGUUCAAUAUUUUAGAAGAAAAAACUAAAUUACCCUACUUAAUCUGCAUGCAACUUUUAGCACGAUUAAUGUGUUUCAGUAUGAAACUUAUAAUUGUUCGGGAUCUUUUUUUCUUUCUUUCUUCUAAUUUACUAAAUAGGUUAAGAAGACCUGCUACGCACCAGCCAGAUUAGGCGGAUCCGCUGCAAGAUGAGGGAGAUCAUGGUCGCGUGGGCGACAACAAGUGAUCUGAAUGACUUUGUCAAAAGGUUGAUGGCUGAAAGUAUAGGUAGAGAUAUUGAGAAGGAGAUGCUGAGCAUCUUUCCUUUACAAAAUGUGUUUAUCCAUAAAGUCAAGAUGUUGAAAGCACCCAAGUUUGAUCUUGACAAGCUGAUGUAUAUUCAUGGUUAUGAAGACCUUGGUGUCAAGGUUGAGAGCCCUGAUCAUCAAGAAGAAACUGCCCUGGAAUAAAACGUAGGACAGUGAUGUUUUGCUUUAAACUAAUCCCAACUGCGGGGAGGAGGAUUCGAACUCAAGUGCAUAAUAGAGCAUAACUAGUCUAGCGAAUGCAGCUAUGCCCAAGUUUAUAGAUAUCAUCGAAGGUUAAUUGUUGCCAGCAUUUUUUUUUAUUUUCUUCUACUUUAAAGUUGCUCGAAUUAUGUUUUGUGAAAUUUCUCUGAGGACAAAGAACCACUUAUUCAUUUCCCGCCAUUUAUGCGGUAUAUGAAUAUGAAUUUUUCAUGACAAUAUAUUAGAUAACACUACUCCAAAAGAGUAUUUUGACUUGAAAUUGCUUAUGGUAAAGCAAAUGCACAACCAGAACCUAGCAUUAAAAAGUAGAAACAAAUGAAAAUGAUACACGAGUUGCUUGGUACGUAGCUUGGCGUUAAAUAUGAUCCACUCUAAUUAAAAGACAGCAUGCUUGAUUAAUUCUUGAAGGAAGAGGAUGACAGAACACUAGUCCUUACUAGUUACUCCGCAACUUGGAUAAUACAUAAUUUUCGUCUGAUUAGUGGCAUAAUAAUCCGCUUAUAUAUCGUUAAUUACGUGUAAAAACGAUAUGUUGAUGCAUCAGCAAUGAUAUUACGAAAACCUCCAACUGUGGAAGCCAACAUGAUGAACACUCCGAUGAAUAUGCAAACCUGUAAACACACACAAUCCUCAUAAAUAAACUUUUUUGUAGCAUGAUGUAUCAAUUUGCGAUAUCGACAACAAGGAACAUUAGAUAUCUUUGGCUUACCCAGUUGACGAGCCAUUGAAUGCUGUAUCUCUUUGGUUUCUUAAUUCUCAGCCACAUUAUACAAGGAAGCUGUUGAAAAAAUGCUCACUUAGUUAAUUUCUUUCUGAUGAUGUAGUUCUGUAAUUUGUGCAAGAAACAAAUUAAGAAAUCAAAUAGAGUGAGAUAGGCUUACAAAGUAUGAAGUGGGGGCAAAACCAAAUCCACCAAAGAAACCAAGAAGGUCUCCAAAGAAAGGGAAGGUGACUCCAACAAAUAAUGUAAAUGCUGCAACAAUAUAGUGAUUAGGAACUUAAUUAGGGUUUAAUCAAGCAGAAAUGACAGAGAUACGGAGACGUAUGGGAAAUGGGAAUCUCACCAACAUAAGCUGAUCUCGUGAUUAGUCUAAGUGCAAUUCCAGGUGGGAAGUUCAUCUUUUUCACCAUCAUCCUCUCAAGCAUGUCAAAAACAGGCAUAGCAUAAACCUGCACACUUUUCAGUCACAUCCUUAAUUUAAUGUAGUUCUAAUAUUAAUGAGAAACACUCAAAGAAUCAAAGCAUAGAUAAAAGCCAUCUCCUAUCAACUGUUAAAGUCGGAGUCACUAAUGGUCGGAUCAGUUCCAAUUAUUUCUUUUCAAAAUAAUGUUUAAAGUGUGUGUUUUUACGAUAGAAAACACUUCUAAUCAUUAUCAUUUAUAUUAGAAGUGCUUUUGUUAUAAAUUUAAAAAAAAAAUUAGAUAAUUCCAAGUGUUUCCAAAACUUUUAUAAAAUAUAUUUGGAAGUGCUUUCUAGAAAAACACUCAAAAAUGCUUUUAAGUUUUUAUGUCAAACGUAAUCAAAAGCAUUUUUAGUUGUCUGCUUUUGUAACUGAGUGCAGAUUUAUACCUGGUAGCUGCCAAUGACAUGGACGACAACCAUUAGGUUAGCAGCAGCAAUGAGCCAUGUAGGUUUUUUAAGAUCUAUGAGCACGUUAUCAUCGACAUCUUGACCAAAGCCCAGUACCCGAUGAGGGCCACCGGGAAAUAGCAAAUUGCGUUGAUAAAGUAGGCUCCUAGAGCACCUUUCCACAUGGGAAUUCUCGACGGCUUCUCAGGCGUCGAUGGAAUUGUGGCUUGGAUUUCAAGCACCACUGCAUGCCCAGCAAAUGCAAACGAGAUUUGACCUAAUGCAUUGAAAACCCUAAACAUGUAAUCUGCAGGGCUUGUUUUCUUGUAUGCAUAGCUCACGUUUUCAACCUGACCUUUGCUUAAGCAACCUGCCCACGCUAUAGUUGAAUAACUGCAAAUUAACAACAAAUUCUAGUUAUUAAGAAAAAUUAUAUAUUAUUUGCCUUCUAAAGUUCUCUUGUUAGGUUUACGAGUAAAUCUUCCGUAGGGUUGUCCUACUAUUGGUAGAACUAGAGCAUGCAUCUCUAUCCAAAUUUUUCUCGAAUUUUAAAAGGAAAAUAUUCACAAAUAAAAUUAGAAGGCACUAAAACAAUAACAUAAAUAUUGUGCAACGUACUAGUGUAUUAUUUGUUUAGUAACUUUCUAGUUUUACUUUUAAUUUAAAAGUUCAUAAGUAGUUGUCACUUAUACGAAUAGUGGAAUAUAUGUGUUAAAAAAUUAAACUUUCUGCCACUUAUAUAAUAACAUGUGGUGUACCACUUGUGUUCCCGUCAUAAUGAAAAUUUUCUCCUUUAACUUGAGUUUGUGUAAAGUACGUAAAAAGGAAUUAAUUUCUGCACACUCCCUCUUCUUUUUUUUCUGUUUUUUUUUUAACAGGUUUUGUUUGGCCUAAAGCAAGUCUUCUAAAUCAGAUUUUCCUUCUCAUGGAAAGUGAAAAUUAAAAUUACUACCUUAGUGACAUGAUAGCUGCUGCUAGAGAAACACCAGCAACAGAGUUGAAAUUGGGGAGCUGGGAAAGAAAGAAAUGAAGGGAACCAAAGAUGACAAUCCAGUACGAUUGCUUGACUGGUGUGCAAUUGGCACAUGCCAUCUCCACAAAUUUCUUUAGACACUUUCCUCCGGUGACCAUGUACACUAUGUCACAACCAACCUGCACAAUCAUUUGUUGCGGAAGCACAAUCCAUGGCCCGAACUUUGGUCCGAAGGCGUGUCGGCCAAGGUCGAUGUAUCGGUCAAACCUAGUUCCCGGAACACAUUCAUGGAGCUGAAUCAUCUGCCACAUUGUGUUCAAGGUCAUGCACCAUGAUAUUACCAGCACCAUUGUCCCUGGACCCCUGAAAAUUAAAGGUAGAAAAAAGUAGGGCUUAUUAGUAUAUUAAUACAAGUACAACUCGUAUAUGUAUUAUUAUCAUGAGUUGGGGUGUUUUGUACCAUCCUAAGAAGGCCAUGGCAUACGGCAGGCUGAGUACACCGGCACCGAUCAUGGCGGUGACUGUGUGAAAGGUGGAGUACCACCAUUUUGCUCGGCGGGCGUUGUCCACCGGCUCCUCCUUCCAUUUGUCGUCUGAAACAACUUCCUGCCAUAGUUUCAAGGACAAGAACGAACAAACAGAAAAAUCAGAGUGGAAUUUGGAAAACGUCGUGUGAAUAAAGAGUGGUGAUGCUCACCUUUGGAGGAGGAGAAGUUGUAACCAUUUUUUUUCUCUUCUUUUGCGAUGAAGACAGAGAAACACUUUCAAUGUGGGAGUUGAUUGGUCGUCAUCAUGCUGUACGUAUAUAGUGGUUUCCUGGCCCGGAAUAUAGGCAGAAAUGUGGGAUAGUACAUUCCAAAACCCCACUCAUGCAUUUAUUUUUAGCUUUUUUUUUUUAACACAGGGACUUGUGCUUUUCCAGUUGAGUGAGAAAUUUUUAGUUGUGACGAAAACAUGAGUGGUACACCACGUGUUUUUAUGUAAGUGGUGGAAAAUUUUACUUUUUAAGUUAUUAACUUUUUAACACACAUAUCCCACUAUUUAUAUAAUGACACGUGGUGUAUCAUCCGUGUGACGGUCACAUUAAAAAAUCUCUCCAGUUGAGCAAUCGUGAAUCAUAUAGGAAAAAGCGGUAAAUAAUUUAGUAAAUUAAGAUGAUAUAACAAAGGGAAAGAGAUCCUUUCCGGAUCUCUUCCUUCACAGUCCAGGGAUCAAUUGAUCCAGAUCCUUGAAAUUUGAUCCACCGGUCAAAAAUUAUUAUAACUUUUAAAAGUUUUUACUAACUUUUUAUUUAUUUAUUUAUUUAUUUAUUUUUACUAACUUCUUUGUUUUUAGCCGUUAAAUCAAAUUUCAAGAGACCGGAUCACUUGAUCCUUAGGCUUUGAAGGGAGAGAUCCGGAGAUAUCUCUUUCCAUAACAAAACCCCUUGUAUGUACUUGGCAAACGAUGUUAAAGUUUUAAACCCUCCACUUAAAAUUAUCUAAAGUGACACGAGCUAAUAUUGCAAACAAGGUUUUACGAGACUUCACAUUUGUCAUACUAGCAAUUAUACACGUUUAUGGUGGCUAAAACUUUUUGGUGAGGAACCUCCAAAAUAUUUUUCGUCGCUGAAGAGGCUUUUUAUAUCUUUAGCGAUUGCUUAUGCAUAUCUAUUUCAUACUAGGAGUUUAUUUUAUUUAGGAGAAAAAUAAGGGAAAAAAAAUGGAGGCAACUGAUAUGAUCACCUGGCCAUGAAACUUUGAAAAAUAAAAAAUAGUAAAAUUAAUUUGUGUUUAAUUUUACUAUAUUGCCAGUGACUUUUAUGUUGGUUAUUUUUCUUUAUUUUGUUGGUAGGGCUAAUUUGAUCAUUUCAAUCUCUUUUGGUUGACAAAUAGAGUUUUGUUAAUAAAUAUUUUAGAUUAUGUGGUUGGAGAGAGGUAUGGAUUGGACUUUCUUAUUAAGUUAGUUUCUUACAUUGAUGAGACCAGUAUGAUAUACGAUCAUGAGACCUAAUACAAGAAAUUUUAUGUCAAAUGGCUCUAAAGAUAACAUGCAACACGUGAGUUUAUAUAUGAAAGAUAUGUUUCUUAAAACGGGCACAAACAAAUUUUUCUCCAAAAUUACUCAAGAUAACUAGGACUGUGGUUUGAUGAUAUACUCCACCCACUUUGAUGCUAUAUACAAAGGAAUCUAAGGACCCCAUUUUGAAAAGCAUUAUUCCAUUAAGCUCCCCAUUUUGACAAGCAUCAUUUCAUAAACCUCCCUUGUCAAUUUUUCUUUACACAAAAAGUUCUUAUGUGCAAUUAUUUAUUUCUAUCCCAAGUUUUGAACCAAUGAUUAAAGAGCUUAGUUGGUGGUGAAUGGAGCCACCUAAAUUGAAUGCGUUGGCAUUAUAAAGAGGGAAUAGUUUGAGGGGUUAAUGAUUAAAGAGCAAGUGAAGGAAUGCUCUUCGUGUAUGGGAGUCGCUGGUGGGGGCUCUUUUUCUUUCUUCUUUUCGAGUGUCCCCUGUGGCUUUGCUAUUUGCAUCCCCAAAAGCCAAUGACGAUUGACUGCUACCCACUUCUUACCACAAAAUAACAAGUAUUAUAUGAUUAUAUCUUGUUUAAUUAAUCUUACACUAAUUCAACAUCAUGCUUAUAUCAUACAACAUGAGUAAUGCUAUUCAUAUUAUGUUUUUAUACCACACUAGGUGGCAUCUGAUGUCAAUAGCCACAUCAUUUGAAAAAUUUGCAAAAUCCGAGGAAAUGAAGGAGAAAGACUUCUCUUAUACCACAAUCAUCAUUUAAUUAACUAGUUUUUCUUAAUUAUUAGUUUAUUAAAUAAUGAACUAAAUUUAAAAAUCUGAUCAAUUCAAAUAAUUUGGCUGUCCACAUCAAAUGCAAUCUAAGGUGGUAUGAAAAUGUGGUACAAAAACUUGGUAUGAAUAGCGUUACGACAAUUGUAGGUUUUAUGACGGUUUUUGUAGAAAUUUGUAAAACCGAUUAAAAACUGCAAGUUAGACACCCAUUAAACCCAUAACGUCCUCCAGAUAGCAAACGAACGAGGGGAGUUUAUAACAGAUGUUGCGAAGACUCGUUAUAGUAGUCAAGGACUAGAUGAAACUCCAAGCAGAUUGACUACCUCCAGACCUUAAAUCCUCAUCUUGAACAAAACCAGCACUUAAUUAAUAAGCAUAUUUAACAGUAAAGCAUCCAUUAGAAGAAGAACCCAAAUGCAGGAAUCACUUAUCGGGCAUAUCCCCUUUAACAUCAGUAGGGUUACUUGUUAGUCCGCCGUACGACAUCGGCACGAAGAACAUUCAAAAGCAUCACAAAUUUCUAUCGAACGCAAGUCAAGUAACUAGCCACAGUUUCAUAAUUUUCAUCUAAAAAGAUAGGCCUCUGAAACUGAUAAAUAAAAGUCCGAUCAUUAGGGGUUACAAUGGCUGAUAGUAAAGUUAUUUAUAUGCGAGUCCCCGAGUGUUUAUAACAAGUUGAAGCUCUUAUUUAACCCAUAAAGCCCCCUCCAGGCAUAUUAGGCCCUUGUGACGAAACCUGUCCCUGUGAAACUAAUUGCGACCGGCCUUGAACAUAAGCUUGAGUCAUCCCCGUCCCAACCAACUGUUGUUGUUGAUGCUGUUGAUGCUGUUGCUGCAAUUGCUGAAGCUGCGGCAGUUGCUGUUGUGAUUGAAGUUGUGAGAGCUGCUGCUGCGAGAGUUGCUGCUGUUGUUGAAUCUGAGGGUGCUGAUGUUGAAUCUGUGGAUGUUGUUGUUGAAUCUGAGGAUGCUGUUGUUGCUGACCGGGUACUUGCAUUUGUUGCUGCUGUUGCUGACCCGGUACUUGCAUUUGUUGCUGCUGUUGCUGACCGGGAACUUGCAUGUGUUGUUGCUGACCGCCUACUUGAAUUUGUUGCUGCUGUUGCUGACCAGGAACUUGCAUGUGUUGUUGCUGACCGCCUACUUGAAUUUGUUGCUGUUGUAGCUGUUGCAUUUGCUGCUGCUGCUGCUGCUGCUGCUGUUGCUGACCACCUACUUGUGGUUUAAACACAACCAUAUCCUGAACCGAUGGUAGAUUUAGCUUUAACAAAAACCAGGUUGUAAGAAGGUUACAAUGCCGAGCCACAAACUCAAUUUGGAGUACCACCACAGGCCUCCAUUUCAGAAAGAAGUUAAAACAGAAGUUGCAGGAUAUGCAGGGAACCUUCAGAACUAAAAGCACCUUAUACAGGCUAGAAAGGUCUUUAACGAUCCCCACAAAAUUUUCGCAAAAUAAAAGGUCCAUUUUCCAGGUUUCUUUUAGUAAUGAAGGUACCUCACAUAUUUGUUGUGGAUUUAGCUCAGAGUUGGUGGCUAUUACUUUAUAUUGGCAAAAAACUAAUAAUAAGGAAUUACAAUCCGCGGUAAUAAGAAUGGUCUAACUAAUAACAAGCUCACCCCUGGAAACAGCAUUCCAAUCAAGCGAUAUGCUUUGUCUGAAACAGAGAGCAGUAGUGUCUGAGAGGGCAAUUGGAUCACUGCACACUGAAAAAGUGGGAAAUCAGCUUUUUGAGAAGAAAAAAAAACAUAUCAGAAUAGUCCUCGGUUUCAUGUUCACAUUCAAAGGAAAACUAUUGCAGGUGGUCAAAUAAAAUAGAAGAACUAGCUUUUGAUGCUGAAGUCUCACAUGGAUGAUACCAGAAUCAAGAAUUACCCCACUUCAAGCCAAGAGAGCCAAUUAAAUGCAUAAAUUUAGUUUAUCACAGCAUUUAGAGGUUCUUGAGUUUAAACAGAUAAUUAACCAAGUUCAUAUGAGAAUGUCACACAGAAUCUAAGGAAGUACUCUGCCAUAUCAGAAUUUACAGAUAAUCAAGUGGUAAUCCAAGAUGCUUAGAUUAAUAUAUAUAACAGAAGACGAUGAUUAGGCAAGUGGGUAAGGACUUUUAAGGGAUAAAGUGGAAGCGGCAAGAAAUUGGAUAGCAAAUUAGCAAUGAGGACAAUUUUUGAGUCUCAAAGGAAAAAGUGGUAAGGUAAAAUAAAGAGAGUAGACAGCUUACAAGUUUCUUCUCUUGCAAUUGCCCAAGAAACCCAUGCUGAUUCAUUGCCCGAAAAACUAAAAAGUCUGCCUUUCCAACAUAUUGCCUGAAUUAUAAAUAUUGAUGAAGUCAAGAAAACUGAGGAAUAUAACAUCAGGAGGAAAAUAUUACACAGAAAAAUAAAGGAGGGAAUGUUUUCACUAAAUUGUAAUUACUUGUUAUUCAUGUGGUCCUGAGAUAUGAGCCUCACUAUUUGCAUUGUUGGUGGCCAGUUCGCCGCAAGCCUGAGGAGUGAAAUAAUGCACAUCAAUAAAUAAACGCCAAUGACACAUUUUACCAUAGUCUGAGAUUAAGAUUUUAUUGUACACUAAAGCACCAACCAAUUAAGGCCAACUAAAGAGUUCUGAUCAAAAUACAUUCAACCUCACGCCACUAUUCUUACAGCAUGUCAAGAUAUUAGGAUUCUAAGAAUGAAGGUAACUAAAUUUUUAUUUUAACCAAAGAAAAAGCCGUCUGCUUUGAUAAGUUAGAAAUAUUAAUAGUCAUAGACCUCUUUUUCUACAUAAAAGAAUUAAAGUUAAAAUAGAAACUUUAAACCAUUGAUUACAUUCCAUUAACAUCUAUUUGAAACAAAAAGAAGAAAGAGUACUCCCGACUUACGUCUCAGAAGCUGAAGCACUCCUGUAACCCUGACAAAAUUAGAAAGCAUUUGUGGAGUCAACAAAUAAUUAACUGCUAAAAUUGUAAAAGAUAACUAAGAGAAAUAUAAAUAAUCCCAUGUCGUUAGGCCCUAAACAUGCCUCAUGCUGUGGUUUAAUUCAGGAUGCUCACACCCUUAUGGUUAUCAAAUUGUCUAUAAAAAUAGAUGCUAUUGAUAGCACACUUGAAAUAACUAUUUAUGGAUUGUUCAGUGUUUUCGGCAAUUUUUGUUCUCUCUCCUCCUCCAACAAAUAUAUUAAAACUCAAACCAAAUGCAUAAUACUUUUGAAUUCAAAUCACUCUGAAGCACAAUCACAAGGAAACAUAGAGAACUUUUUUCAGAAAAAUUUAAGUUCGACAUAAAUAACUAUGGUUAUCCAUGACAGCACAUUGGGUUGAUUCAAUGGCAAUUUGGAAUUUCCCUCUCCGGUGAUAGUUUAUCAGUGGUGUUUUGGGUGAAGAGUAGUUUGUGGAUAUCAAAGAAAUGAUGGUCAGAUGGUUUACCAAUUUAUAUGGAAACAUACUGAAAAUCCUCAUGUGCCAAAGUCACACACAUGCUCCAUUUUUCUCUCAAAAAUAAUGAUUUUGUGCAAUGCAAGAAACCAGACGUAAGAGUAUCACAAAAUAAACCACAGUUUCCAUGUCAUCCAACAAGGCAACGGAGAACGAACCUCCAAUCUAGUGAUAAACACAGGCUGCCCUUGUCUCUGCCCAGAUAAAGCUCCCUGCAUGUAUUUUGAUCAUUCAAGUAUGAGUGAUUGCGGAAUACCACAGUAAAACAGGACCAACCAUCUUUAAAACUUUCGUGAUAUUCUAGCUUAAAAAAGUUACCACCAGAAGUUUGAAAAUCCAACCGUAUUUUUUUAAAAGACCUACCUCCCAGACUUUCACAUAUUUGGAUUGUGCAGAUGCCAGAGCACUUGAUGUCUGUUGUGAAAAUGGCACAUUAGAUGCUGAAUUAUUGUUUGCACCAAGUGACUGCAUCCCAGAUUGCACCUGUUGAGCCAUUCCUGGAGUAGGAAUCAUUGUACCAGUUCCAGAAGAGGCACCUGUUGAACCAAGGGCACUCAUCAUGUUUGGGUUCAUGCCAAUUCCACUUUGAACCAUUUGCGGUCCCGAGAGAUUUCCUUGGCUCAUACCAGGCACAGCUUGACCCAUACUAACACCACCUUGAAGGUUGCUCAUUGGUUGUGACAUCCCAAGGUUAUUGUUGCUCAUUGGUUGUGACAUCCCAAGGUUAUUGUUGCCAGAGACAUUAGAGGUACCUGAAGUGAAUGAAUUAAGACCUGGGUUCUGCGCAACCUGUGUAAGAGUGCCGGACCCGGAAGAUGAAAAUAC
rnacentral:lncRNA from 1 species